CACUGACGAGUUUGAUCAUGGCUCAGAACGACGCUGGCGGCAUGCCUAACACAUGCAAGUCGAACGAACCCUUCGGGGUUAGUGGCGCACGGGUGCGUAACGCGUGGGAACCUACCAUCAGGUUCGGAAUAACAGUUAGAAAUGACUGCUAAUACCGGAUAAUGUCUUCGGACCAAAGAUUUAUCGCCUUUUGAUGGGCCCGCGUAAGAUUAGGUAGUUGGUGGGGUAAAAGCCUACCAAGCCGACGAUCUUUAGCUGGUCUGAGAGGAUGAUCAGCCACACUGGGACUGAGACACGGCCCAGACUCCUACGGGAGGCAGCAGUGGGGAAUAUUGGACAAUGGGCGAAAGCCUGAUCCAGCAAUGCCGCGUGAGUGAUGAAGGCCUUAGGGUUGUAAAGCUCUUUUACCAGGGAUGAUAAUGACAGUACCUGGAGAAUAAGCUCCGGCUAACUCCGUG
rnacentral:rRNA from 1 species